rfam:Loxodonta africana unplaced genomic scaffold scaffold_4, whole genome shotgun sequence.
AAACAGGCUCUCUAACAGAGCCACAGAAUGUUAAAAAAAAAAAAAAA